rnacentral:rRNA from 1 species
GACAGAGGAGCCAAGCGUUGUCCGGACUGACUGGGCGUAAAGCGCACGCAGGUGGUCGCGCAAGUGUCGUGUGAAAGCCCUCGGCUUAACUGAGGGAGGCCAUGGCAGACUGCGCAACUCGAGCCGUGUAGAGGUCCGUGGAAUUGCCGGUGUAGUGGUGAAAUGCGUAGAGAUCGGCAGGAACACCGAUGGGGAAGCCAGCGGACUGGGCACGUGCUGACGCUGAGAUGCGACAGCGUGGGGAGCGAACUGG